UAAUAUUUAUUGUUAUCUGAAACACAGCGGAAUAGAGAUCAAAAUCCUCAAGGAUUGCUUGAAUCUGAUACCUUGUGAGACCUGAAAGUGCAGGUCCUCUACUUCGCGUGUACACCAAGCCCCAUAAGAAAGAAGGAUGAUUUUCUUUACGUCAAUCUUUAGAAGAAAAGCAAGAGUUGAUAGAGAUCUAAUCUCCACGUCUUAAGAAAGAUCUUUCACGCCA
rnacentral:lncRNA from 1 species